rnacentral:misc_RNA from 1 species
ACCUCAAUCACCUGUGUGCC